rnacentral:lncRNA from 1 species
GCACGAUCUGGAUUGUCUAGAAAAAGUGUCAUAUUUGUAUAAUGAACUUACAUGCCUUUUUCUUAAGUCUGUUUGCAUGUUUCUAGUUAUUAAAUCGGUAGAAAAGAUGAACAUGUAGCUAGCAGACCAGGGUUUAUUUAUUUUUGUAUUAAAGAAUAUUAGAUGCUUGUUGAAAUUUCCAAUUUUGAAUUAUGCACAAAGAUUGACCUUUAACAGGUUGGGAACAACACUCCAAAUGAGGGGUAACCCUCAUUUGAAGAACA